CUAUGGCGGGAACAUUUCACGGCGUUAUUUUUGAAUUCAUUAAAUUUUUUAAAAUCAGUUACAGAUUCGAUUGUAUUGGUUGGUUGCAAAAUGUACUAAGGACAUUGCUGAUUCUAAAACAUUUACCACGGAAUCUCGCCAUCACAACACAGCUUUCGGUGCUCCAGCUUGGGCUCGGUCAGCAGCAAAUCAAUGGAUGGAUGCCCAUUCCGUAGGUCGUUGUCAAAUGUCCUAUUGGUUUGGAAUACCUGAAUGCGCAUGAACAGCUGCUGGUGAAGGUGGCCAGAAGGUGGAGCUGCUGGACAUAAAUGGUCAUGCUCGGUCAUGAUUAGAUCGGCCCGUCCAUUCGAUCUCAAGAUCCUGGCUAACUUCCAGAACGAGGUGCUGCACUUUAACGAGGUACUGUGUUUGGAACGGUGGCACAGCAGCAGAUACUUUUGUGUCAGGAAUCCAACAUCAAGAAUCGGGACGGCUCUCGCGAUCAAGGGCCGCUUCUGUCAGUGCUCUUUGUGUGGUGUACAUUUUUUGGUGUUGACCACGGAUGGCCCGAGGGCGGACAAAGUGAUUAAGCAGUGAAGAGGCCUGGCAAAGGAUGUGUUAACCGAUGCGAACACUUUUGGUAUGAGUUCCCCGACGGAUUUGGUCGUCAGGUCUCUGUGGUUGACUGCUCGUAUCGCACAGAGUUGUGGUUUCAUUUCAAUUUCAAUAAGGGAAAAAGCGGUCAUAAGCCAACAUAAAAAAGUGAGGAUUUUAGUUCUAUUUUCGUAAGUUGUGAAUGCGAAUUUUUAACUGUCCAUGUCAUGAAUGCAAACCCACGCGUGCUGCGUGACA